rnacentral:rRNA from 1 species
CACGUAGGGCGCAAGCGUUGUCCGGAAUUAUUGGGCGUAAAGAGCUCGUAGGCGGUCUGUUACGUCUGCUGUGAAAACCCGGGGCUUAACCCCGGGCCUGCAGUGGGUACGGGCAGACUAGAGUGCGGUAGGGGAGACUGGAAUUCCUGGUGUAGCGGUGAAAUGCGCAGAUAUCAGGAGGAACACCGGUGGCGAAGGCGGGUCUCUGGGCCGUAACUGACGCUGAGGAGCGAAAGCGUGGGGAGCAAACAGG